rnacentral:rRNA from 1 species
UACGUAGGGUGCAAGCGUUGUCCGGAAUUAUUGGGCGUAAAGGGCUCGUAGGCGGUCCAUCGCGUCGGGAGUGAAAAGCUGGGGCUUAACCCCAGUCCUGCUUCCGAUACGGGUGGACUAGAGGUAGGCAGGGGAGAACGGAAUUCCUGGCGUAGCGGUGAAAUGCGCAGAUAUCAGGAGGAACACCAGUGGCGAAGGCGGCUACCCUGGACAGGUACUGACGCUGGAAGCGACGAAAGCUAGGGGAGCAAACAGG